GAGUUUGACCGAAACUCUUCCCAGGCAGCAGGCUGAAGCGGUCAAACGGUGGAUAAGGCUGCUAGGUGGUUGGAUAAAUUUCAAAUGCCUAAUUCAUGGAGCAAAGCAAGGGAAUUUGAAAUUAGAAAGAAUUUUUAUUAAGCAUUAAGUACCGUAUUUUAUUCUUUUAAUUUUGGCUUUUAUGAAUUAUUCCCUUUUUGUUCAUCUUUCCUGCAUCGAUAAUAACCGAACCUAUCUUCUUUUACUCUUCUUUUCUUUCUUUUCUUUUAUCUCAUCUCUUCCUUCUUUAAUUUCCUUCAAAGCCGAAUCUGUACUGUCAUCUCCUCUUUUCUAUUUUUCUAUUUUCUCUUUUUCAUUAUACUAAAAUCUGAAACAUCCAUACUUUAGUGAUUCG
rnacentral:lncRNA from 1 species